AUUGAACGCUGGCGGCAUGCCUUACACAUGCAAGUCGAACGGUAACGGGCCUUCGGGUGCCGACGAAUGGCGAACGGGUGAGUAAUGUAUCGGAACGUACCUUUCAGUGGGGGAUAACGUAGCGAAAGUUACGCUAAUACCGCAUAUUCUGUGAGCAGGAAAGCAGGGGAUCGCAAGACCUUGCGCUGAUUGAGCGGCCGAUAUCAGAUUAGCUAGUUGGUGAGGUAAAGGCUCACCAAGGCGACGAUCUGUAGCGGGUCUGAGAGGAUGAUCCACCACACUGGAACUGAGACACGGUCCAGACUCCUACGGGAGGCAGCAGUGGGGAAUUUUGGACAAUGGGGGCAACCCUGAUCCAGCCAUGCCGCGUGAGUGAAGAAGGCCUUCGGGUUGUAAAGCUCUUUCGGCCGGGAAGAAAUCGUAUCAGCUAAUACCUGGUGCGGAUGACGGUACCGGCAUAAGAAGCACCGGCUAACUACGUGCCAGCCGCCGCCGUAAUAC
rnacentral:rRNA from 1 species